GGGAAACUGACGCUAAUACCGCUAAGCCCUAUGGGGAAAGAUUAUUCCGAAAGAUGGCCCGCGUUAGAUUAGCUAGUUGGGGAGGUAAUGGCUCACCGGGGCUAGGAUUUUACCCGGUUUGAGAGGAUGGCCCGCCUCACCGGGACUGGGGCACCGCCCAGAGGCCUACGGGAGGCAGCAGUGGGAAUAUGGACCAAUGGGGCAACCCUGAUCCAGCCAUGCCGCGUGAAUGAUGAAGGCCUUCGGGUAGUAAAGUUCUUUGGUAUGGGAAUAAC
rnacentral:rRNA from 1 species